GUUAUAUGGUCAAGCGAAUAAGCGCACACGGUGGAUGCCUAGGCGGUCAGAGGCGAUGAAGGACGUGGUAGCCUGCGAAAAGUGUCGGGGAGCUGGCAACAAGCUUUGAUCCGGCAAUGUCCGAAUGGGGAAACCCACUGCUUCGGCAGUAUCCUGCAGUGAAUUCAUAGCUGCUGGAAGCGAACCCGGUGAACUGAAAUAUCUAAGUAACCGGAGGAAAAGAAAUCAACCGAGAUUCCCUAAGUAGUGACGAGCGAACGGGGAGCAGCCCUUAAGCUGGAAUGGCUUUAGAAAAACAAUCUGGAAAGAUUGGCCAUAGAAGGUGAUAGCCCUGUAUUUAAAAGGGCCACUCCAGUGAAGACGAGUAGGGCGGGGCACGUGAAACCCUGUCUGAAUAUGGGGGGACCAUCCUCCAAGGCUAAAUACUCCUGACCGACCGAUAGUGAACCAGUACCGUGAGGGAAAGGCGAAAAGAACCCCGGAGAGGGGAGUGAAAUAGAUCCUGAAACCGUGUGCGUACAAGCAGUAGGAGCUCGCAAGAGUGACUGCGUACCUUUUGUAUAAUGGGUCAGCGACUUACUGUUCGUGGCAAGCUUAACCGUAUAGGGGAGGCGAAGGGAAACCGAGUCUGAUAAGGGCGCAUAGUCGCGGGCAGUAGACCCGAAACCGGGUGAUCUAGUCAUGGCCAGGGUGAAGGUGCCGUAACAGGUACUGGAGGCCCGAACCCACGUCUGUUGCAAAAGACGGGGAUGAGCUGUGAUUAGGAGUGAAAAGCUAAUCGAACCCGGAGAUAGCUGGUUCUCCUCGAAAGCUAUUUAGGUAGCGCCUCAUAUGUAUCCUCUCGGGGGUAGAGCACUGUUAUGGCUAGGGGGUCAUCGCGACUUACCAAACCAUUGCAAACUCCGAAUACCGAGACGGACUGUAUGGGAGACACACGGCGGGUGCUAACGUCCGUCGUGAAAAGGGAAACAACCCAGACCCACAGCUAAGGUCCCAAAUUCACUGCUAAGUGGAAAACGAUGUGGAAAGGCACAGACAGCCAGGAGGUUGGCUUAGAAGCAGCCACCCUUUAAAGAAAGCGUAAUAGCUCACUGGUCGAGUCGGUCUGCGCGGAAGAUUUAACGGGGCUAAGCAGUGAACCGAAGCUUGGGGUGCAUAAAACUUGUUUUAUGCGCGGUAGAGGAGCGUUCCGUAAGCCUGCGAAGGUGGAUUGAGAAGUCUGCUGGAGGUAUCGGAAGUGCGAAUGCUGACAUGAGUAACGAUAAUGCGGGUGAAAAGCCCGCACGCCGAAAGCCCAAGGUUUCCUUGCGCAACGUUAAUCGACGCAGGGUUAGUCGGUCCCUAAGGCGAGGGCGAAAGCCGUAGUCGAUGGGAAGCAGGUUAAUAUUCCUGCACCUCGCGUGAGUGCGAUGGAGGGACGGAGAAGGUUAGGUGUACCGGGCGUUGGUUGUCCCGGGGAAAGGCGGUAGGUUUGGAUCUUUGGCAAAUCCGGGAUCCUUUAAGACCGAGCACCGAGACGAGCCUUUAUGGCGAAGUCACUGAUACCACGCUUCCAGGAAAAGCUCCUAAGCUUCAGCUCACGAAGACCGUACCGUAAACCGACACAGGUGGGUAGGAUGAGAAUUCUCAGGCGCUUGAGAGAACUCGGGUGAAGGAACUAGGCAACAUGGCACCGUAACUUCGGGAGAAGGUGCACCCUUUUUGGUGGCUCGUGCGAGCUAUAGCUGAAGAGGGUCGCAGAAACCAGGCCGCUGCGACUGUUUAUCAAAAACACAGCACUCUGCAAACACGAAAGUGGACGUAUAGGGUGUGACGCCUGCCCGGUGCUGGAAGGUUAAUUGAUGGGGUCAGCCGCAAGGCGAAGCUCUUGAUCGAAGCCCCAGUAAACGGCGGCCGUAACUAUAACGGUCCUAAGGUAGCGAAAUUCCUUGUCGGGUAAGUUCCGACCUGCACGAAUGGCGUAACGACAGCGGCGCUGUCUCCACCCGAGACUCAGUGAAAUUGAAAUCGCUGUGAAGAUGCAGCGUUCCCGUGGCAAGACGGAAAGACCCCGUGAACCUUUACUAUAGCUUUACACUGAACGUUGAGUUCGUCUGUGUAGGAUAGGUGGGAGGCUAUGAAACUGUGGCGCUAGCUGCAGUGGAGCCAUCCUUGAAAUACCACCCUGUCGUGCUUGACGUUCUAACCUAGGUCCGUUAUCCGGAUCAGGGACCGUGUAUGGUGGGUAGUUUGACUGGGGCGGUCUCCUCCUAAAGAGUAACGGAGGAGCACGAAGGUACGCUCAGCGCGGUCGGACAUCGCGCACUGUGUGCAAAGGCAUAAGCGUGCUUGACUGCAAGAUCGACGGAUCAAGCAGGUACGAAAGUAGGUCUUAGUGAUCCGGUGGUUCUGUAUGGAAGGGCCAUCGCUCAACGGAUAAAAGGUACUCCGGGGAUAACAGGCUGAUACCGCCCAAGAGUUCAUAUCGACGGCGGUGUUUGGCACCUCGAUGUCGGCUCAUCACAUCCUGGGGCUGUAGUCGGUCCCAAGGGUAUGGCUGUUCGCCAUUUAAAGUGGUACGCGAGCUGGGUUCAGAACGUCGUGAGACAGUUCGGUCCCUAUCUGCCAUGGGCGUUGGAAGUUUGAGAGGGGCUGCUCCUAGUACGAGAGGACCGGAGUGGACGAACCUCUGGUGUUCCGGUUGUCACGCCAGUGGCAUUGCCGGGUAGCUAUGUUCGGAAGCGAUAACCGCUGAAAGCAUCUAAGCGGGAAGCGCGCCUCAAGAUGAGACUUCCCGGGGCACAAGCCCCCUAAAGGAACCAUGUAGACUACGUGGUUGAUAGGUCAGGUGUGUAAGUACAGCAAUGUAUUGAGCUAACUGAUACUAAUGAUCCGUGCGGCUUGACCAUAUAACCU
rnacentral:rRNA from 1 species